rnacentral:rRNA from 1 species
GAUGAACGCUGGCGGCGUGCCUAAUACAUGCAAGUCGAGCGAACGGACGAGAAGCUUGCUUCUCUGAUGUUAGCGGCGGAUGGGUGAGUAACACGUGGAUAACCUACCUAUAAGACUGGGAUAACUUCGGGAAACCGGAGCUAAUACCGGAUAAUAUUUUGAACCGCAUGGUUCAAAAGUGAAAGACGGUCUUGCUGUCACUUAUAGAUGGAUCCGCGCUGCAUUAGCUAGUUGGUAAGGUAACGGCUUACCAAGGCAACGAUGCAUAGCCGACCUGAGAGGGUGAUCGGCCACACUGGAACUGAGACACGGUCCAGACUCCUACGGGAGGCAGCAGUAGGGAAUCUUCCGCAAUGGGCGAAAGCCUGACGGAGCAACGCCGCGUGAGUGAUGAAGGUCUUCGGAUCGUAAAACUCUGUUAUUAGGGAAGAACAUAUGUGUAAGUAACUGUGCACAUCUUGACGGUACCUAAUCAGAAAGCCACGGCUAACUACGUGCCAGCAGCCGCGGUAAUACGUAGGUGGCAAGCGUUAUCCGGAAUUAUUGGGCGUAAAGCGCGCGUAGGCGGUUUUUUAAGUCUGAUGUGAAAGCCCACGGCUCAACCGUGGAGGGUCAUUGGAAACUGGAAAACUUGAGUGCAGAAGAGGAAAGUGGAAUUCCAUGUGUAGCGGUGAAAUGCGCAGAGAUAUGGAGGAACACCAGUGGCGAAGGCGACUUUCUGGUCUGUAACUGACGCUGAUGUGCGAAAGCGUGGGGAUCAAACAGGAUUAGAUACCCUGGUAGUCCACGCCGUAAACGAUGAGUGCUAAGUGUUAGGGGGUUUCCGCCCCUUAGUGCUGCAGCUAACGCAUUAAGCACUCCGCCUGGGGAGUACGACCGCAAGGUUGAAACUCAAAGGAAUUGACGGGGACCCGCACAAGCGGUGGAGCAUGUGGUUUAAUUCGAAGCAACGCGAAGAACCUUACCAAAUCUUGACAUCCUUUGACAACUCUAGAGAUAGAGCCUUCCCCUUCGGGGGACAAAGUGACAGGUGGUGCAUGGUUGUCGUCAGCUCGUGUCGUGAGAUGUUGGGUUAAGUCCCGCAACGAGCGCAACCCUUAAGCUUAGUUGCCAUCAUUAAGUUGGGCACUCUAAGUUGACUGCCGGUGACAAACCGGAGGAAGGUGGGGAUGACGUCAAAUCAUCAUGCCCCUUAUGAUUUGGGCUACACACGUGCUACAAUGGACAAUACAAAGGGCAGCGAAACCGCGAGGUCAAGCAAAUCCCAUAAAGUUGUUCUCAGUUCGGAUUGUAGUCUGCAACUCGACUACAUGAAGCUGGAAUCGCUAGUAAUCGUAGAUCAGCAUGCUACGGUGAAUACGUUCCCGGGUCU